AUUGAACGCUGGCGGCAUGCUUUACACAUGCAAGUCGAACGGCAGCGCGGGCUUCGGCCUGGCGGCGAGUGGCGAACGGGUGAGUAAUACAUCGGAACGUGCCCAGUAGUGGGGGAUAGCUCGGCGAAAGCCGGAUUAAUACCGCAUACGACCUGAGGGUGAAAGCGGGGGAUCUUCGGACCUCGCGCUAUUGGAGCGGCCGAUGGCAGAUUAGCUAGUUGGUGGGGUAAAGGCAUACCAAGGCGACGAUCUGUAGCGGGUCUGAGAGGACGACCAGUCACACUGGGACUGAGACUCGGCCCAGACUCCUACGGGAGGCAGCAGUGGGGAAUUUUGGACAAUGGGCGAAAGCCUGAUCCAGCAAUGCCGCGUGUGUGAUGAAGGCCUUCGGGUUGUAAAGCACUUUUGGCGGGAACGAAAAGGACUGUGCCAAUACCACGGUUCGAUGACGGUACCCGCAGAAUAAGCACCGGCUAACUACGUG
rnacentral:rRNA from 1 species